rnacentral:rRNA from 1 species
UUUAUUUUGGUUUAAUGGAUAAGAUUGAUCCUGUCUUUAUUUUUGAUUAAAUUGGUUUAUAGGUGGUAUUAAAUAUAAAUUUUUGUGUGUUG